rnacentral:rRNA from 1 species
UACGUAGGUGGCAAGCGUUGUCCGGAUUUACUGGGCGUAAAGAGCGCGCAGGCGGUCGAGUAAGUCGCGUGUGAAAGCCCCCGGCUCAACUGGGGAGGGUCACGCGAUACUGUUCGACUCGAAGGCAGGAGAGGGUAGUGGAAUUCCCGGUGUAGUGGUGAAAUUCGUAGAUAUUGGGAAGAACACCGGUGGCGAAGGCGGCUCACUGGCCCGUUACUGACGCUCAGGCGCGACAGCGUGGGGAUCAAACAGG